ACCGGAAAAGGCGGGGCCACCGGAGUGCCUAAGUGCGGCUCUCGGACGCAGCGCUUCCUUUCUCGCGCGGCCGGCGAGGGAGAAAGCAGAGUAAAGAGCCGUCGAUCAUGUUGAUGUGGCGGUGGCGGAGCCUGAGGGCCAGUCGCUGGGCUCUGCGAGGUGCAAGAAAGCCUUUGAGUUGAAGAUGUAUGAAGGUCAUCAUGACAGAUGUUUUCCAAAAACUUAAAAAAGUCUGUGAAAUAACUACUAGGAUCAUACAGCAUGUAUUGAGCAUAUAGGUUGCUGUAGAUGAAUGUUCUUCACUGUUGUAUUUAAAAAUACUUCUGCUUUGCUGCCUCAAGUGUGGCAUGCAACAUUUUGGAAAGAAAAUUGAAGACUGUCAAGAAAACAUGAACAGAAGUAAAUGAUGAAAUGAGUAUUUUAUUUGAUGUUGAUAAACAUCACAAUAAAUUAUGGAGAAAAUA